rnacentral:rRNA from 1 species
UACGAAGGGGGCGAGCGUUGUUCGGAAUUACUGGGCGUAAAGAGCGUGUAGGCGGUUCGAUAAGUCGGCUGUGAAAGUCCAGGGCUCAACCCUGGGAUGCCGGUCGAAACUGUCGGACUAGAGUUCGGAAGAGGCGAGUGGAAUUCCCGGUGUAGCGGUGAAAUGCGCAGAUAUCGGGAGGAACACCAUGGCGAAGGCAGCUCGCUGGGACGUUACUGACGCUGAGACGCGAAAGCGUGGGGAGCAAACAGG